rnacentral:lncRNA from 1 species
AUGGGACGCCAGCCCCAUCCCACCAGUGCCAUGGCCGGGCCGGCUGCACGGGGCUGUGGCUGCAAUCACUGGCCGUUUCCUCCAGAGUCAAGUAUUUUUAAUUACACUGAGAGUUUGCAGGUGCUGAAGCGCUUCCCCAGUGCAGGUCAUGCCGGGACUCCUAAAAGCUGGGCGAACGUCCCCCAAGAUGCCGCCGCCGUCAUGUUGCCGUCCUCAAGGGCCUCGUUUGCAACCCCCUGGGGCUUCGCGUGCACUGGCGGCGGCAGCAGCAUGAUUCGGAGGCCCCGGAGCUGCACGAAAGGACGCCUGGCCGUGGCGAUGGGGCAGUGCCAGCCCCACGGCGGUGGGCGCCUCCAGGGCAGUGUCUCCAUCCCCCAAGGCCUCGUGUCCAUCGGGCCUGGUGCGGACUGGACACCAACACCUGCUUGCUCCCCUCCGUCCUCCCUGCGAGAUCCCUUGGGUGUCUCCGUCCCCCUGAGAGCCCUGCGCUCUUGGGGCAGCAGCUCCUGGGCAAUGUCCAGCCCCAAGUCCAUCAUGCAGUUCCUGCAAGCCAUUGUGUGGUCCUGCACCCCACUGCAUGGUCCUGAAACCUACUGUAUGGUUCUGUAUCCCACCAUAUGGUCCUGCAUUCCUCCAUGCAGUCCUGCACCCCACUGCACGAUCCUGCACCCCACCACAUGGUUUUGCACCCCACCACACAGUACUGCACCUCACUGCAUGGUCCUGAACCCCACUGCAUGGUCCAGCACCCUUCCAGAAGGUUCCUGCAUCCUGCCACAUGGUCCUGCCCCAAACCAUGCAGUCCCACGCCCCACUGCAUGGUCCUGCACCCUGCUGCAUGGUCCUGCACCAAACCACGUGGUCCCACACCCUGUCACGUGGUCCUGCACGCCGCCACGUGGUCCUGCACCCUGCCAUGCAGCCCUGCACCCCGCUACACCAGCCUGCACCCCAUUGCAUGGCCCUGCACCCAGUGUGGCCCCACAGCCUGCUGCGUGGCCCCACUGGCCAGGUAGGGCUGCCGUGGGCUGUGUCUCCCCAGCGGCCAGCAGCGCCGCAUCCCAGCGCCGAGCCACUGGUGCCCUGGGAAGGGCCGCAGGGCCGGGCAGAGCAUGCACGAUGUGGCAGCGCUGCCGCUGCUGCUGUCGCGUGCCCGGGGGCUGCACGUGCUGUGGCAAGAAUGGGGGCAAGAAGAGAGCCAUUUUCCUCGUUUCCUUCUCUCCUUUGACUUUGCAGCCGGGCCAGGACUGA